ACUUCUUUCCAUUUAACUCGACAGAUAAGCGGACAACAUUAACAUAUAUUGACAGUGAAGGUAAAAUGCAUCGGGUCAGCAAAGGUGCACCGGAGCAGAUUUUGAAUCUGGUC